rnacentral:rRNA from 1 species
GGGUUGUGAGGUUAAGCGACUAAGCGUACACGGUGGAUGCCCUGGCAGUCAGAGGCGAUGAAGGACGUGCUAAUCUGCGAUAAGCGUCGGUAAGGUGAUAUGAACCGUUAUAACCGGCGAUUUCCGAAUGGGGAAACCCAGUGUGWUUCGACACACUAUCAUUAACUGAAUCCAUAGGUUAAUGAGGCGAACCGGGGGAACUGAAACAUCUAAGUACCCCGAGGAAAAGAAAUCAACCGAGAUUCCCCCAGUAGCGGCGAGCGAACGGGGAGGAGCCCAGAGCCUGAAUCAGUGUGUGUGUUAGUGGAAGCGUCUGGAAAGGCGCGCGAUACAGGGUGACAGCCCCGUACACAAAAAUGCACAUAYUGUGAGCUCGAUGAGUAGGGCGGGACACGUGGUAUCCUGUCUGAAUAUGGGGGGACCAUCCUCCAAGGCUAAAUACUCCUGACUGACCGAUAGUGAACCAGUACCGUGAGGGAAAGGCGAAAAGAACCCCGGCGAGGGGAGUGAAAAAGAACCUGAAACCGUGUACGUACAAGCAGUGGGAGCCUCUUUUAUGGGGUGACUGCGUACCUUUUGUAUAAUGGGUCAGCGACUUAUAUUCUGUAGCAAGGUUAACCGAAUAGGGGAGCCGAAGGGAAACCGAGUCUUAACUGGGCGUUAAGUUGCAGGGUAUAGACCCGAAACCCGGUGAUCUAGCCAUGGGCAGGUUGAAGGUUGGGUAACACUAACUGGAGGACCGAACCGACUAAUGUUGAAAAAUUAGCGGAUGACUUGUGGCUGGGGGUGAAAGGCCAAUCAAACCGGGAGAUAGCUGGUUCUCCCCGAAAGCUAUUUAGGUAGCGCCUCGUGAAYUCAUCUCCGGGGGUAGAGCACUGUUUCGGCAAGGGGGUCAUCCCGACUUACCAACCCGAUGCAAACUGCGAAUACCGGAGAAUGUUAUCACGGGAGACACACGGCGGGUGCUAACGUCCGUCGUGAAGAGGGAAACAACCCAGACCGCCAGCUAAGGUCCCAAAGUCAUGGUUAAGUGGGAAACGAUGUGGGAAGGCCCAGACAGCCAGGAUGUUGGCUUAGAAGCAGCCAUCAUUUAAAGAAAGCGUAAUAGCUCACUGGUCGAGUCGGCCUGCGCGGAAGAUGUAACGGGGCUAAACCAUGCACCGAAGCUGCGGCAGCGACACUAUGUGUUGUUGGGUAGGGGAGCGUUCUGUAAGCCUGUGAAGGUGURCUGUGAGGYAUGCUGGAGGUAUCAGAAGUGCGAAUGCUGACAUAAGUAACGAUAAAGCGGGUGAAAAGCCCGCUCGCCGGAAGACCAAGGGUUCCUGUCCAACGUUAAUCGGGGCAGGGUGAGUCGACCCCUAAGGCGAGGCCGAAAGGCGUAGUCGAUGGGAAACAGGUUAAUAUUCCUGUACUUGGUGUUACUGCGAAGGGGGGACGGAGAAGGCUAUGUUGGCCGGGCGACGGUUGUCCCGGUUUAAGCGUGUAGGCUGGUUUUCCAGGCAAAUCCGGAAAAUCAAGGCUGAGGCGUGAUGACGAGGCACUACGGUGCUGAAGCAACAAAUGCCCUGCUUCCAGGAAAAGCCUCUAAGCAUCAGGUAACAUCAAAUCGUACCCCAAACCGACACAGGUGGUCAGGUAGAGAAUACCAAGGCGCUUGAGAGAACUCGGGUGAAGGAACUAGGCAAAAUGGUGCCGUAACUUCGGGAGAAGGCACGCUGAUAUGUAGGUGAAGUCCCUCGCGGAUGGAGCUGAAAUCAGUCGAAGAUACCAGCUGGCUGCAACUGUUUAUUAAAAACACAGCACUGUGCAAACACGAAAGUGGACGUAUACGGUGUGACGCCUGCCCGGUGCCGGAAGGUUAAUUGAUGGGGUUAGCGCAAGCGAAGCUCUUGAUCGAAGCCCCGGUAAACGGCGGCCGUAACUAUAACGGUCCUAAGGUAGCGAAAUUCCUUGUCGGGUAAGUUCCGACCUGCACGAAUGGCGUAAUGAUGGCCAGGCUGUCUCCACCCGAGACUCAGUGAAAUUGAACUCGCUGUGAAGAUGCAGUGUACCCGCGGCAAGACGGAAAGACCCCGUGAACCUUUACUAUAGCUUGACACUGAACAUUGAGCCUUGAUGUGUAGGAUAGGUGGGAGGCUUWGAAGUGUGGACGCCAGUCUGCAUGGAGCCGACCUUGAAAUACCACCCUUUAAUGUUUGAUGUUCUAACGUUGACCCGUGAUCCGGGUUGCGGACAGUGUCUGGUGGGUAGUUUGACUGGGGCGGUCUCCUCCUAAAGAGUAACGGAGGAGCACGAAGGUUGGCUAAUCCUGGUCGGACAUCAGGAGGUUAGUGCAAUGGCAUAAGCCAGCUUGACUGCGAGCGUGACGGYGCGAGCAGGUGCGAAAGCAGGUCAUAGUGAUCCGGUGGUUCUGAAUGGAAGGGCCAUCGCUCAACGGAUAAAAGGUACUCCGGGGAUAACAGGCUGAUACCGCCCAAGAGUUCAUAUCGACGGCGGUGUUUGGCACCUCGAUGUCGGCUCAUCACAUCCUGGGGCUGAAGUAGGUCCCAAGGGUAUGGCUGUUCGCCAUUUAAAGUGGUACGCGAGCUGGGUUUAGAACGUCGUGAGACAGUUCGGUCCCUAUCUGCCGUGGGCGCUGGAGAACUGAGGGGGGCUGCUCCUAGUACGAGAGGACCGGAGUGGACGCAUCACUGGUGUUCGGGUUGUCAUGCCAAUGGCACUGCCCGGUAGCUAAAUGCGGAAGAGAUAAGUGCUGAAAGCAUCUAAGCACGAAACUUGCCCCGAGAUGAGUUCUCCCUGACYCYUURAGRGUCCUGAAGGAACGUUGAAGACGACGACGUUGAUAGGCCGGGUGUGUAAGCGCAGCGAUGCGUUGAGCUAACCGGUACUAAUGAACCGUGAGGCUUAACCUUACAACGCCGAAGCUGUU